UACGGAGGGGGCUAGCGUUGUUCGGAAUUACUGGGCGUAAAGCGCACGUAGGCGGAUCAGUCAGUUAGGGGUGAAAGCCCAGGGCUCAACCCUGGAACUGCCUUUAAUACUGCUGGUCUGGAGGUCGAGAGAGGUGAGUGGAAUUCCGAGUGUAGAGGUGAAAUUCGUAGAUAUUCGGAGGAACACCAGUGGCGGAAGGCGGCUCACUGGCUCGAUACUGACGCUGAGGUGCGAAAGCGUGGGGAGCAAACAGG
rnacentral:rRNA from 1 species